rnacentral:rRNA from 1 species
UACGGAGGGUGCAAGCGUUAUCCGGAUUCACUGGGUUUAAAGGGUGCGUAGGCGGGUAUUUAAGUCAGUGGUGAAAUCCUAGAGCUUAACUCUAGAACUGCCAUUGAUACUAUUUAUCUUGAAUAUUGUGGAGGUAAGCGGAAUAUGUCAUGUAGCGGUGAAAUGCUUAGAUAUGACAUAGAACACCUAUUGCGAAGGCAGCUUACUACGCAUAUAUUGACGCUGAGGCACGAAAGCGUGGGGGGAUCAAACAGGAUUAGAUACCCUGGUAGUCCACGCCCUAAACGACGGAUACUCGACAUACGCGAAAACACUGUGUGUGUCUGAGCGAAAGCAUUAAGUAUCCCACCUGGGAAGUACGACCGCAAGGUUGAAACUCAA